UACGUAGGGGGCGAGCGUUGUCCGGAAUCAUUGGGCGUAAAGCGCGCGUAGGCGGACCUGCAAGUCGGGGGUGAAAGCCCGAGGCUCAACCUCGGAACUGCCUUCGAUACUGCGGGUCUCGAGUCCGGGAGAGGUGAGUGGAAUUCCUAGUGUAGAGGUGAAAUUCGUAGAUAUUAGGAAGAACACCAGUGGCGAAGGCGGCUCACUGGCCCGGUACUGACGCUGAGGCGCGAAAGCGUGGGGAGCAAACAGG
rnacentral:rRNA from 1 species